AAUUCCGCUCCCGUCCUCCUCCACUCUCAGGGCGCAGAGCAAAACGCGGAGCCGGAUCCAAAGGGCCUGGCCAAGUCCCGGCGCAGACUACACGGAACGGAGCCUCCCUAGGCAGCCUUUUUGCGACUGAGAAAGGCCAAGAAACAGCACGCCUUUCCCGUGCCACACGUUACAGGCCUGGGCUCUUUCCUAGCGUGUCUACACAGCUGAAUGAAUCCAGUUGGACACAGUACUUCAAUCGCCAUGGCCCAGUGAGAUGGAAUGCUGGGAGUCGUAGUUUUGAACAUCUGUAUGCAUCCCAUCAGCAAUUGUCAUCGUGGGCCUUGUCAUCUCAUGACCACAGACUUUUCAUGAUGGAAGCAAGCGAUUGCUAUUUCGAUUUUGGACGUCAAAGGGGAAAGAUCUCCAGAAUUACUAUUUCUAUUAAAAAGUCUCAUCUGUUUAUGGACGGAAGGACGGAGCUCCUCACAGUGCGGCUACCUCCUUCAGAACCGGAAGUUAAGUUCUCUCUAGGAUUACUGAAAUCGCUAAUUGCUGUUUUAUCUUGCUAUUUUUAAAAACUGCUUUUACUAAAGUCUAUGCAAAUUCUUUC